GCAAGUCGAACGGUAGGGAAGUGCUUGCACUUCCUGAGAGUGGCGAACGGGUGAGUAACACGUAAGUGAUCUGCCCUGAGGUUGGGGAUAGCCCAUGGAAACAUGGGGUAAUACCGGAUAAUCUCAUUACUUUUGAAGAGGUGAUGAGUAAAAGAGCUACGGCUCUGCCUUAGGAUGAGCUUGCGGUCCAUUAGCUAGUUGGUGGGGUAAAGGCCUACCAAGACUGCGAUGGUUAGCUGGUCUGAGAGGAUGAUC
rnacentral:rRNA from 1 species